GGGUUGUGAGGUUAAGUGACUAAGCGUACACGGUGGAUGCCUAGGCAGUCAGAGGCGAUGAAGGGCGUGCUAAUCUGCGAAAAGCGUCGGUAAGGUGAUAUGAACCGUUACAACCGGCGAUACCCGAAUGGGGAAACCCAGUGUGUUUCGACACACUAUCAUGUCAUGAAUACAUAGUGGCAUGAGGCGAACCGGGGGAACUGAAACAUCUAAGUACCCCGAGGAAAAGAAAUCAACCGAGAUUCCCCCAGUAGCGGCGAGCGAACGGGGAGGAGCCCAGAACCUGAAUCGGCUUGUGUGUUAGUGGAAGCGUCUGGAAAGUCGCGCAGCAAAGGGUGAUAGCCCCGUACACUAAAAUGCACAGGUCGUGAGUUCGAUGAGUAGGGCGGGACACGUGACAUCCUGUCUGAAUAUGGGGGGACCAUCCUCCAAGGCUAAAUACUCCUGACUGACCGAUAGUGAACCAGUACCGUGAGGGAAAGGCGAAAAGAACCCCGGCGAGGGGAGUGAAAUAGAACCUGAAACCGUGUACGUACAAGCAGUGGGAGCACCUUCGUGGUGUGACUGCGUACCUUUUGUAUAAUGGGUCAGCGACUUAUAUUUUGUAGCAAGGUUAACCGUAUAGGGGAGCCGUAGGGAAACCGAGUCUUAACUGGGCGAAUAGUUGCAAGGUAUAGACCCGAAACCCGGUGAUCUAGCCAUGGGCAGGUUGAAGGUUGGGUAACACUAACUGGAGGACCGAACCGACUAAUGUUGAAAAAUUAGCGGAUGACUUGUGGCUGGGGGUGAAAGGCCAAUCAAACCGGGAGAUAGCUGGUUCUCCCCGAAAGCUAUUUAGGUAGCGCCUCGUGAACUCAUCUUCGGGGGUAGAGCACUGUUUCGGCUAGGGGGCCAUCCCGGCUUACCAAACCGAUGCAAACUCCGAAUACCGAAGAAUGUUAUCACGGGAGACACACGGCGGGUGCUAACGUCCGUCGUGAAGAGGGAAACAACCCAGACCGCCAGCUAAGGUCCCAAAGUCAUGGUUAAGUGGGAAACGAUGUGGGAAGGCACAGACAGCCAGGAUGUUGGCUUAGAAGCAGCCAUCAUUUAAAGAAAGCGUAAUAGCUCACUGGUCGAGUCGGCCUGCGCGGAAGAUGUAACGGGGCUAAACCAUGCACCGAAGCUGCGGCAGCGACGCUUAGGCGUUGUUGGGUAGGGGAGCGUUCUGUAAGCCGUUGAAGGUGGCCUGUGAGGGUUGCUGGAGGUAUCAGAAGUGCGAAUGCUGACAUAAGUAACGAUAAAGCGGGUGAAAAGCCCGCUCGCCGGAAGACCAAGGGUUCCUGUCCAACGUUAAUCGGGGCAGGGUGAGUCGACCCCUAAGGCGAGGCUGAAAAGCGUAGUCGAUGGGAAACAGGUUAAUAUUCCUGUACUUGGUGUUACUGCGAAGGGGGGACGGAGAAGGCUAGGCUAGCCGGGCGACGGUUGUCCCGGUUUAAGCGUGUAGGGGGUGUGACCUGGUAAAUCCGGUUGCAUACUAACCCUGAGGCGUGAUGACGAUGCACUACGGUGCAGAAGUAGUUGAUGCCCUGCUUCCAGGAAAAUCCUCUAAGCUCCAGGUAACAUUNNNNNNNNNNNNNNNNNNNNNNNNNNNNNNNNNNNNNNNNNNNNNNNNNNNNNNNNNNNNNNNNNNNNNNNNNNNNNNNNNNNNNNNNNNNNNNNNNNNNNNNNNAAGCCAGUCGAAGAUACCAGCUGGCUGCAACUGUUUAAUAAAAACACAGCACUGUGCAAACACGAAAGUGGACGUAUACGGUGUGACGCCUGCCCGGUGCUGGAAGGUUAAUUGAUGGGGUCAGCCGCAAGGCGAAGCUCUUGAUCGAAGCCCCAGUAAACGGCGGCCGUAACUAUAACGGUCCUAAGGUAGCGAAAUUCCUUGUCGGGUAAGUUCCGACCUGCACGAAUGGCGUAAUGAUGGCCAGGCUGUCUCCACCCGAGACUCAGUGAAAUUGAACUCGCUGUGAAGAUGCAGUGUACCCGCGGCAAGACGGAAAGACCCCGUGAACCUUUACUAUAGCUUGACACUGAACAUUGAGCCUUGAUGUGUAGGAUAGGUGGGAGGCUUUGAAGCGUGGACGCCAGUCUGCGUGGAGCCAUCCUUGAAAUACCACCCUUUAAUGUUUGAUGUUCUAACUCUGCCCCAUAAUCUGGGGUGAGGACAGUGUCUGGUGGGUAGUUUGACUGGGGCGGUCUCCUCCCAAAGAGUAACGGAGGAGCACGAAGGUUAGCUAAUCACGGUCGGACAUCGUGAGGUUAGUGCAAAGGCAUAAGCUAGCUUGACUGCGAGAGUGACGGCUCGAGCAGGUACGAAAGUAGGUCUUAGUGAUCCGGUGGUUCUGAAUGGAAGGGCCAUCGCUCAACGGAUAAAAGGUACUCCGGGGAUAACAGGCUGAUACCGCCCAAGAGUUCAUAUCGACGGCGGUGUUUGGCACCUCGAUGUCGGCUCAUCACAUCCUGGGGCUGAAGUAGGUCCCAAGGGUAUGGCUGUUCGCCAUUUAAAGUGGUACGCGAGCUGGGUUUAGAACGUCGUGAGACAGUUCGGUCCCUAUCUGCCGUGGGCGUUGGAAGAUUGAGAGGGGUUGCUCCUAGUACGAGAGGACCGGAGUGAACGCACCACUGGUGUUCGGGUUGUCAUGCCAAUGGCAUUGCCCGGUAGCUAAGUGCGGAAAAGAUAAGCGCUGAAAGCAUCUAAGCGCGAAACUUGCCUCAAGAUGAGUCUUCCCUGGGCCUUUAAGGCCCCUGAAGGAACGUUUAAGACUAAGACGUUGAUAGGCUGGGUGUGUAAGUGCAGCGAUGCAUUGAGCUAACCAGUACUAAUGAUCCGUGAGGCUUAACCUUACAACACCGAAGGUGUUUUAG
rnacentral:rRNA from 1 species